UUUAUGGAGAGUUUGAUCCUGGCUCAGGAUGAACGCUGGCGGCGUGCCUAAUACAUGCAAGUCGAGCGAACGGACGAGAAGCUUACUUCUCUGAUGUUAGCGGCGGACGGGUGAGUAACACGUGGAUAACCUACCUAUAAGACUGGGAUAACUUCGGGAAACCGGAGCUAAUACCGGAUAAUAUUUUGAACCGCAUGGUUCAAAAGUGAAAGACGGUCUUGCUGUCACUUAUAGAUGGAUCCGCGCUGCAUUAGCUAGUUGGUAAGGUAACGGCUUACCAAGGCAACGAUGCAUAGCCGACCUGAGAGGGUGAUCGGCCACACUGGAACUGAGACACGGUCCAGACUCCUACGGGAGGCAGCAGUAGGGAAUCUUCCGCAAUGGGCGAAAGCCUGACGGAGCAACGCCGCGUGAGUGAUGAAGGUCUUCGGAUCGUAAAACUCUGUUAUUAGGGAAGAACAUAUGUGUAAGUAACUGUGCACAUCUUGACGGUACCUAAUCAGAAAGCCACGGCUAACUACGUGCCAGCAGCCGCGGUAAUACGUAGGUGGCAAGCGUUAUCCGGAAUUAUUGGGCGUAAAGCGCGCGUAGGCGGUUUUUUAAGUCUGAUGUGAAAGCCCACGGCUCAACCGUGGAGGGUCAUUGGAAACUGGAAAACUUGAGUGCAGAAGAGGAAAGUGGAAUUCCAUGUGUAGCGGUGAAAUGCGCAGAGAUAUGGAGGAACACCAGUGGCGAAGGCGACUUUCUGGUCUGUAACUGACGCUGAUGUGCGAAAGCGUGGGGAUCAAACAGGAUUAGAUACCCUGGUAGUCCACGCCGUAAACGAUGAGUGCUAAGUGUUAGGGGGUUUCCGCCCCUUAGUGCUGCAGCUAACGCAUUAAGCACUCCGCCUGGGGAGUACGACCGCAAGGUUGAAACUCAAAGGAAUUGACGGGGACCCGCACAAGCGGUGGAGCAUGUGGUUUAAUUCGAAGCAACGCGAAGAACCUUACCAAAUCUUGACAUCCUUUGACAACUCUAGAGAUAGAGCCUUCCCCUUCGGGGGACAAAGUGACAGGUGGUGCAUGGUUGUCGUCAGCUCGUGUCGUGAGAUGUUGGGUUAAGUCCCGCAACGAGCGCAACCCUUAAGCUUAGUUGCCAUCAUUAAGUUGGGCACUCUAAGUUGACUGCCGGUGACAAACCGGAGGAAGGUGGGGAUGACGUCAAAUCAUCAUGCCCCUUAUGAUUUGGGCUACACACGUGCUACAAUGGACAAUACAAAGGGCAGCGAAACCGCGAGGUCAAGCAAAUCCCAUAAAGUUGUUCUCAGUUCGGAUUGUAGUCUGCAACUCGACUACAUGAAGCUGGAAUCGCUAGUAAUCGUAGAUCAGCAUGCUACGGUGAAUACGUUCCCGGGUCUUGUACACACCGCCCGUCACACCACGAGAGUUUGUAACACCCGAAGCCGGUGGAGUAACCUUUUAGGAGCUAGCCGUCGAAGGUGGGACAAAUGAUUGGGGUGAAGUCGUAACAAGGUAGCCGUAUCGGAAGGUGCGGCUGGAUCACCUCCUUU
rnacentral:rRNA from 1 species